rnacentral:rRNA from 1 species
UUAAGCGACUAAGCGUACACGGUGGAUGCCCUGGCAGUCAGAGGCGAUGAAGGACGUGCUAAUCUGCGAUAAGCGUCGGUAAGGUGAUAUGAACCGUUAUAACCGGCGAUUUCCGAAUGGGGAAACCCAGUGUGAUUCGACACACUAUCAUUAACUGAAUCCAUAGGUUAAUGAGGCGAACCGGGGGAACUGAAACAUCUAAGUACCCCGAGGAAAAGAAAUCAACCGAGAUUCCCCCAGUAGCGGCGAGCGAACGGGGAGCAGCCCAGAGCCUGAAUCAGUGUGUGUGUUAGUGGAAGCGUCUGGAAAGGCGCGCGAUACAGGGUGACAGCCCCGUACACAAAAAUGCACAUGCUGUGAGCUCGAUGAGUAGGGCGGGACACGUGGUAUCCUGUCUGAAUAUGGGGGGACCAUCCUCCAAGGCUAAAUACUCCUGACUGACCGAUAGUGAACCAGUACCGUGAGGGAAAGGCGAAAAGAACCCCGGCGAGGGGAGUGAAAAAGAACCUGAAACCGUGUACGUACAAGCAGUGGGAGCACAGAGCAAUCUGUGUGACUGCGUACCUUUUGUAUAAUGGGUCAGCGACUUAUAUUCUGUAGCAAGGUUAACCGAAUAGGGGAGCCGAAGGGAAACCGAGUCCUAACUGGGCGUUAAGUUGCAGGGUAUAGACCCGAAACCCGGUGAUCUAGCCAUGGGCAGGUUGAAGGUUGGGUAACACUAACUGGAGGACCGAACCGACUAAUGUUGAAAAAUUAGCGGAUGACUUGUGGCUGGGGGUGAAAGGCCAAUCAAACCGGGAGAUAGCUGGUUCUCCCCGAAAGCUAUUUAGGUAGCGCCUCGUGAAUUCAUCUCCGGGGGUAGAGCACUGUUUCGGCAAGGGGGUCAUCCCGACUUACCAACCCGAUGCAAACUGCGAAUACCGGAGAAUGUUAUCACGGGAGACACACGGCGGGUGCUAACGUCCGUCGUGAAGAGGGAAACAACCCAGACCGCCAGCUAAGGUCCCAAAGUCAUGGUUAAGUGGGAAACGAUGUGGGAAGGCCCAGACAGCCAGGAUGUUGGCUUAGAAGCAGCCAUCAUUUAAAGAAAGCGUAAUAGCUCACUGGUCGAGUCGGCCUGCGCGGAAGAUGUAACGGGGCUAAACCAUGCACCGAAGCUGCGGCAGCGACGCUUAUGCGUUGUUGGGUAGGGGAGCGUUCUGUAAGCCUGCGAAGGUGUGCUGUGAGGCAUGCUGGAGGUAUCAGAAGUGCGAAUGCUGACAUAAGUAACGAUAAAGCGGGUGAAAAGCCCGCUCGCCGGAAGACCAAGGGUUCCUGUCCAACGUUAAUCGGGGCAGGGUGAGUCGACCCCUAAGGCGAGGCCGAAAGGCGUAGUCGAUGGGAAACAGGUUAAUAUUCCUGUACUUGGUGUUACUGCGAAGGGGGGACGGAGAAGGCUAUGUUGGCCGGGCGACGGUUGUCCCGGUUUAAGCGUGUAGGCUGGUUUUCCAGGCAAAUCCGGAAAAUCAAGGCUGAGGCGUGAUGACGAGGCACUACGGUGCUGAAGCAACAAAUGCCCUGCUUCCAGGAAAAGCCUCUAAGCAUCAGGUAACAUCAAAUCGUACCCCAAACCGACACAGGUGGUCAGGUAGAGAAUACCAAGGCGCUUGAGAGAACUCGGGUGAAGGAACUAGGCAAAAUGGUGCCGUAACUUCGGGAGAAGGCACGCUGAUAUGUAGGUGAAGUCCCUCGCGGAUGGAGCUGAAAUCAGUCGAAGAUACCAGCUGGCUGCAACUGUUUAUUAAAAACACAGCACUGUGCAAACACGAAAGUGGACGUAUACGGUGUGACGCCUGCCCGGUGCCGGAAGGUUAAUUGAUGGGGUCAGCGCAAGCGAAGCUCUUGAUCGAAGCCCCGGUAAACGGCGGCCGUAACUAUAACGGUCCUAAGGUAGCGAAAUUCCUUGUCGGGUAAGUUCCGACCUGCACGAAUGGCGUAAUGAUGGCCAGGCUGUCUCCACCCGAGACUCAGUGAAAUUGAACUCGCUGUGAAGAUGCAGUGUACCCGCGGCAAGACGGAAAGACCCCGUGAACCUUUACUAUAGCUUGACACUGAACAUUGAGCCUUGAUGUGUAGGAUAGGUGGGAGGCUUUGAAGUGUGGACGCCAGUCUGCAUGGAGCCGACCUUGAAAUACCACCCUUUAAUGUUUGAUGUUCUAACGUUGACCCGUGAUCCGGGUUGCGGACAGUGUCUGGUGGGUAGUUUGACUGGGGCGGUCUCCUCCUAAAGAGUAACGGAGGAGCACGAAGGUUGGCUAAUCCUGGUCGGACAUCAGGAGGUUAGUGCAAUGGCAUAAGCCAGCUUGACUGCGAGCGUGACGGCGCGAGCAGGUGCGAAAGCAGGUCAUAGUGAUCCGGUGGUUCUGAAUGGAAGGGCCAUCGCUCAACGGAUAAAAGGUACUCCGGGGAUAACAGGCUGAUACCGCCCAAGAGUUCAUAUCGACGGCGGUGUUUGGCACCUCGAUGUCGGCUCAUCACAUCCUGGGGCUGAAGUAGGUCCCAAGGGUAUGGCUGUUCGCCAUUUAAAGUGGUACGCGAGCUGGGUUUAGAACGUCGUGAGACAGUUCGGUCCCUAUCUGCCGUGGGCGCUGGAGAACUGAGGGGGGCUGCUCCUAGUACGAGAGGACCGGAGUGGACGCAUCACUGGUGUUCGGGUUGUCAUGCCAAUGGCACUGCCCGGUAGCUAAAUGCGGAAGAGAUAAGUGCUGAAAGCAUCUAAGCACGAAACUUGCCCCGAGAUGAGUUCUCCCUGACUCCUUGAGAGUCCUGAAGGAACGUUGAAGACGACGACGUUGAUAGGCCGGGUGUGUAAGCGCAGCGAUGCGUUGAGCUAACCGGUACUAAUGAACCGUGAGGCUUAACCUU